rnacentral:rRNA from 1 species
UGGGGAAUUUUGGACAAUGGGCGCAAGCCUGAUCCAGCCAUGCCGCGUGCGGGAAGAAGGCCUUCGGGUUGUAAACCGCUUUUGUCAGGGAAGAAAUCUUCUGAGUUAAUACCUCGGGAGGAUGACGGUACCUGAAGAAUAAGCACCGGCUAACUACGUGCCAGCAGCCGCGGUAAUACGUAGGGUGCAAGCGUUAAUCGGAAUUACUGGGCGUAAAGCGUGCGCAGGCGGUUUUGUAAGACAGAGGUGAAAUCCCCGGGCUCAACCUGGGAACUGCCUUUGUGACUGCAAGGCUUGAGUGCGGCAGAGGGGGAUGGAAUUCCGCGUGUAGCAGUGAAAUGCGUAGAUAUGCGGAGGAACACCGAUGGCGAAGGCAAUCCCCUGGGCCUGCACUGACGCUCAUGCACGAAAGCGUGGGGAGCAAACAGGAUUAGAUAGCCCUGGUAGUCCACGCCCUAAAACGAUGUCAACUGGUUGUUGGGAAGGUUCCUUCUCAGUAACGUAGCUAACGCGUGAAGUUGACCGCCUGGGGAGUACGGCCGCAAGGUUGAAAACUCAAAGGAAUUGACGGGGUCAUAGC